rnacentral:rRNA from 1 species
AGUGAACGCUGGCGGUAGGCCUAACACAUGCAAGUCGAACGGCAGCACAGUAAGAGCUUGCUCUUACGGGUGGCGAGUGGCGGACGGGUGAGGAAUACAUCGGAAUCUACUUUUUCGUGGGGGAUAACGUAGGGAAACUUACGCUAAUACCGCAUACGACCUACGGGUGAAAGCAGGGGAUCUUCGGACCUUGCGCGAUUGAAUGACCCGAUGUCGGAUUAGCUAGUUGGCGGGGUAAGGGCCCACCAAGGCGACGAUCCGUAGCUGGUCUGAGAGGAUGGUCAGCCACACUGGAACUGGGACACGGUCCAGACUCCUACGGGAGGCAGCAGUGGGGAAUAUUGGACAAUGGGCGCAAGCCUGCUCCAGCCAUACCGCGUGGGUGAAGAAGACCUUCGGGUUGUAAAGCCCUUUUGUUGGGAAAGAAAAGCAGCAGGUUAAUACCCCGCUGUUCUGACGGUACCCUAAGAAUAAGCACCGGCUAACUUCGUG